GUGAUAGAUUUGAAUUGUAGAGAUUUGAAGGCACAUAGUGAGUACAAUUGUCCUAAACAAGUAGAUGAGAACAAGCUGUACAAAGAGUAAAGAAAAGUAAAGAAAGGGCAGGAAAGCAAUACUCAAGUGCCUUGUUUGUGUCCUUGCUCGGUGGAGUCGAUGGUCUUUACAC